CGGAUCGGAGUCUGCAACCCGACUCCGUGAAGCUGGAUUCGCUAGUAAUCGCGCAUCAGCCAUGGCGCGGUGAAUAUGUUCCCGGGCCUUGUACACACCGCCCGUCAAGCCAUGGAAGCCGGGGGGUGCCUGAAGUGUGCAGCCGCAAGGAGCGCCCUAAGGUAAAACCGGUGACUGGGGCCAAGUCGUAACAAGGUACC
rnacentral:rRNA from 1 species